rnacentral:rRNA from 1 species
GACGAACGCUGGCGGCGUGCUUAACACAUGCAAGUCGAGCGGAAAGGCCACUUCGGUGGUACUCGAGCGGCGAACGGGUGAGUAACACGUGAGUAAUCUGCCCCUGGCUUUGGGAUAGCCACCGGAAACGGUGAUUAAUACCGGAUACGACCACUUCUCGCAUGGGAUGGUGGUGGAAAGUUUUUUCGGCCAGGGAUGUGCUCGCGGCCUAUCAGCUCGAUGGUGAGGUAAUGGCUCACCAUGGCUUCGACGGGUAGCCGGCCUGAGAGGGUGACCAGUCAGACUGGAACUGAGACACGGCCCAGACUCAUACGGGAGGCAGCGGUAGGGAAUAUUGGAAAAUGGGCGGAAGCCUGAUCCAGCAACGCCGCGUGAGGGAUGACGGCCUUCGGGUUGUAAACCUCUUUCAGCAGGGACGAAGCUCAAGUGACGGUACCUGCAGAAGAAGCACCGGCCAACUACUUGCCAGCAGCCGCCGUAA